AACAUUUACCUUGCUGAUAAGAUUGGAUUAGCUGAGAUUCAGAUUCUGUGAUUUAGGAGAUUUAGGUUCGGAUUACUUUCAACAACCAGUUUUAGGUAAAUGUCAAGGAGCAGUAACAGUAAUGGACAUGAUCAACUAGUUUCAGCCAGUCCUUUUCAGAGUUUGAUCCUAUGCAUAUCUUAUCUUCUCGUAGAGUUUAUAUCUAUUGACAAAUGCUAUUUGGUGAACUUGUUGUAUUGCAGACCCUGAAGGUAUCGCAAACGCCCAGAAGUCACUUGGGUUAGGACAAGAAGAGAAAUCCCGUAACGUCCGCUAACGUCAGCA
rnacentral:lncRNA from 1 species